rnacentral:rRNA from 1 species
AACGAACGCUGGCGGCAUGCCUAACACAUGCAAGUCGAACGAAGGCUUCGGCCUUAGUGGCGCACGGGUGCGUAACGCGUGGGAAUCUGCCCUUUGGUUCGGAAUAACAGCUGGAAACGGCUGCUAAUACCGGAUGAUGACGAAAGUCCAAAGAUUUAUCGCCAGAGGAUGAGCCCGCGUUGGAUUAGGUAGUUGGUGGGGUAAAGGCCUACCAAGCCGACGAUCCAUAGCUGGUCUGAGAGGAUGAUCAGCCACACUGGGACUGAGACACGGCCCAGACUCCUACGGGAGGCAGCAGUGGGGAAUAUUGGACAAUGGGCGCAAGCCUGAUCCAGCAAUGCCGCGUGAGUGAUGAAGGCCCUAGGGUUGUAAAGCUCUUUUACCCGGGAAAAUAAUGACUGUACCGGGAGAAUAAGCCCCGGCUAACUCCGUG